GAUGAAGAACGUAGCGAAAUGCGAUAAGUAGUGUGAAUUGCAGAAUUCAGUGAAUCAUCGAAUCUUUGAACGCACAUUGCGCCCCUUGGUAUUCCAUGGGGCAUGCCUGUUCGAGCGUCAUUUGUACCUUCAAGCUCUGCUUGGUGUUGGGUGUUUGUCUCGCCUCUGCGUGUAGACUCGCCUUAAAACAAUUGGCAGCCGGCGUAUUGAUUUCGGAGCGCAGUACAUCUCGCGCUUUGCACUCAUAACGACGACGUCCAAAAGUACAUUUUUACACUCUUGACCUCGGAUCAGGUAGGGAUACCCGUUGAACUUAAGCAUAUCAAUAAGCGGAGGA
rnacentral:misc_RNA from 1 species